UUAUUGGUUCAACAUCAGUGGUUACUCCAGGCUUUGAACACCUUCAGUAGAACUUUCUUGGGAGAAAUGCUGCCUUCUCCUAAUGAAGCAUAGAAACUCCAAGUGAAUUGGUGGAAAGCUCAGAAGAUGUCUCUUAUGACAGGAGCCACUAUUUCAAGACACUGAUGAACUGAUCCCAAAAUUCAUAUGGAAAUGCACGGGACCCAAAUACCCAAAACAAUCUUGUUAGAGAAGAACAAAGAGGACCCAUACUUUCUAAUCUCAAAGCUUACUACAAAGACCAACAUUUAUGUUAUG